UUCAGAGAGACAUUGAAGAGAGAGACAGUGGAGACCGAUGCGACGGGGAAAGAAAGAGAGACUUAACUAGUGCGUCUAUCUCUAGCGAGGUCACAGGAUGGAGCAGAUCGCUGAUUUUGGAGGAAGCGGGGGUUACAGGGGCGGUGGGAGGAGUCAAACUGCUGAAGGAUGAAGGUUUUAAGGCGACGCUUGGAGGUUUGGUAGGCGGCAGCGGUACCUACGAGAAAGUGGGGAUUAUGGAGACAACUAUGGCUAUGGAGGAUGCGGCAGUGGCUACGAAGGAGGAGGCGGCGGAUAGAAAUCAUAGAAUCGAGUAAGAGAAAGAUAGAGGCAAGAAGAGGGAAAAAGAGAAAGAGCAAGGAGAGAAAGAGAGAGAGAGUGAGAGAGGCAGCGGCGGAGCGGCUCAUGUUUUGGGGUGUUUUUUUGAAUUUUUCUUAGUUUUUUUAGUGAUUAAAGGUAGAUCAGUAUAUUUACAUAAAAAGACUAAUUUUUCUAGUUUUUUAUCUUUAUAGAUUUUUUUUUUCAAUUUACGAAAUGGAAAUAGAUAUAUUGACCUAUU
rnacentral:lncRNA from 1 species